AUUGAACGCUGGCGGAAUGCUUUACACAUGCGAGUCGAGCGGCAGCACGGGGGCAACCCUGGUGGCGAGCGGCGAACGGGUGAGUAAUACAUCGGAACAUGCCCAGUCGUGGGGGAUAACACUUCGAAAGAAGUGCUAAUACCGCAUACGUCCUGAGGGAGAAAGCGGGGGAUCGCAAGACCUCGCGCGAUUGGAGUGGCCGAUGUCAGAUUAGCUAGUUGGUGGGGUAAAGGCCUACCAAGGCAACGAUCUGUAGCUGGUCUGAGAGGAUGAUCAGCCACACUGGGACUGAGACACGGCCCAGACUCCUACGGGAGGCAGCAGUGGGGAAUUUUGGACAAUGGGGGCAACCCUGAUCCAGCCAUUCCGCGUGAGUGAAGAAGGCCUUCGGGUUGUAAAGCUCUUUCGGCAGGAACGAAACGGCGAGCUCUAACAUAGCUUGCUAAUGACGGUACCUGAAGAAGAAGCACCGGCGAACUACGU
rnacentral:rRNA from 1 species